GCACCCGUAGCUCAGUGGAUAGAGCAGAAGCCUUCUAAGCUUAAGGUCGGGGGUUCGAAUCCUCCCGGGCGCGCCA
rnacentral:tRNA from 1 species